GUCGAAAGAAACAAGUGAGAUGAAGUACCUCCACAUGCUCAGGAGGCAGUGGGAUCCCAAUGGAACGCAUAACUUUUUGAGGAAGGGGCUUCUUACAACGAGACCAACGAAAAACAUCAGUCAUAAUAUUAUCACCAUCAUUCUUUUCCCCAUUUGUGGAAUGUAAAAGGUGAUUUUGAGACUUUUCUGUCUCUGUAUCCUGUGACUCAGAUGCUGGAACAGCUUUAACCAUCUUCUCUCCCGCAAAAGAGAGUUCAUACCUGCAGAUAACAACUCAAAAGAUCAGAAAAUACAAACC
rnacentral:lncRNA from 1 species